UACAGAGGUCUCAAGCGUUGUUCGGAUUCAUUGGGCGUAAAGGGUGCGUAGGCGGCGCGGUAAGUCGGGUGUGAAAUCUCGGGGCUUAACUCCGAAACUGCAUUCGAUACUGCCGUGCUUGAGGACUGGAAAGGAGACUGGAAUUUACGGUGUAGCGGUGAAAUGCGUAGAUAUCGUAAGGAAGACCAGUGGCGAAGGCGGGGUCUCUGGACAGUUCCUGACGCUGAGGCACGAAGGCCAGGGGAGCAAACGGG
rnacentral:rRNA from 1 species